rnacentral:rRNA from 1 species
GACGAACGCUGGCGGCGUGCCUAGUACAUGCAAGUAGAACGCACAGUUUAUACCGUAGCUUGCUACACCGUAGACUGUGAGUUGCGAACGGGUGAGUAACGCGUAGGUAACCUGCCUGGUAGCGGGGGAUAACUAUUGGAAACGAUAGCUAAUACCGCAUAAUAUUGAUUAUUGCAUGAUAAUUGAUUGAAAGAUGCUAUUGCAUCACUACCAGAUGGACCUGCGUUGUAUUAGCUAGUAGGUGAGGUAACGGCUCACCUAGGCGACGAUACAUAGCCGACCUGAGAGGGUGAUCGGCCACACUGGGACUGAGACACGGCCCAGACUCCUACGGGAGGCAGCAGUAGGGAAUCUUCGGCAAUGGACGAAAGUCUGACCGAGCAACGCCGCGUGAGUGAAGAAGGUUUUCGGAUCGUAAAGCUCUGUUGUAAGAGAAGAACGGGUGUGAGAGUGGAAAGUUCACACUGUGACGGUAUCUUACCAGAAAGAGACGGCUAACUACGUG